UGGCAAUUCGAUGGGUUCGGACCGUGGAUGGAUGAUUCCCUUCGUAGUCAGAAAUAUCUCCUCAGCCCAUGAACCUUUGCUUGUUUACGGAAAAAGGAAGUGCAUGGGCAGGCCCAAUAGCGAUAUAUACUUUUGGCACGUUUUACGUCUACAAUGCAAGCACCUGUAAUCGGUCCCCUUUUAGAGCAACUCCAGUAGUUCUUUAAAAGACUUUCUAAAUCAAUAAUUUAGUUAGUUAACAUAAAAAUUAUUCUCCAACAGUUUCUAAAUAAACUUUCUAAAUUUAACAACUUGUCAUCUAACCUUAUUUUCUCUCUACAUUUGGCAACCAUUUAACAACUCGCUAAAUAAAAAUGUUGACUGCAUUAUAUAGUUUUUGUGACUUAUUUUUUAUGUGGAUAAAUACAAAACAAAAUUACAACCUAUAUUUAGAGAACUAUUGGAGAACUCACAUUUUUUACUCUAAAAGCUAUUUAGCAACUUUUUAAAUCUGUGAUUUAGAGAGCUAAAAUUUAUAUAAAUAUUGUAUUUGCUCUUAGGGACUGGGCGGUAGGCCAGUUGGUUCCUUUGCCGUUUGUGUGAGCGGCCGAGCGUGGGUUUAGGGUUUAUAUUUAAGCUUAGAAAGUAGAUACGUAAGCUUAGACGGAGGGACUACAAUAUAGCAAAGUAGAUAUAUGUAAGCUUAGAAACAUUUUAUUAUAAAUGGGAACCUAGCUAGCUAGCCUAUGCACAAGAGUCUUUGGCACACAUAUGGUACACAUGAACUAACAAAUUUUACAAAAAAAUUCUGAAAAAAAUUCAUACAUAUUUUUUCCAUCCUAC
rnacentral:lncRNA from 1 species